AGAGUUUGAUCCUGGCUCAGAGCGAACGCUGGCGGCAUGCUUAACACAUGCAAGUCGCACGGUAUGGGGGCAACUCCAUGCAGUGGCGGACGGGUGAGUAACGCGUAGGAAUCUAUCCUUGGAUGGGGGACAACCGUGGGAAACUACGGCUAAUACCGCAUGAUGCCUGAGGGCCAAAGCUCGUGAGAGCGUCUGGGGAGGAGCCUGCGUCUGAUUAGGUAGUUGGUGGGGUAAAGGCCUACCAAGCCUGCGAUCAGUAGCUGGUCUGAGAGGAUGAUCAGCCACAUUGGGACUGAGACACGGCCC
rnacentral:rRNA from 1 species